UGUCUCCUUUUUCUAAUCAGUGAAACUAAUCUUCCCGUGAAGAAGCGGGAAUACCCCUAUAAGACGAGAAGACCCCAUGGAGCUUCAAACCCAACUACACCCCUAACUUCUAUAACCCCCACCCCACGGGACCCUGUAUAGUUGGUUUUAGGUUGGGGCAACCACGGAGCACAACAAAGCCUCCACAAUGAAUGGGACCACCCCCCUUAUCUAAGAGCCACACCCCUAGGAAUUAAAACAUUAAUAUAAAAUGAUCCAUUAUUUGAUCAAUGAACCAAGUUACCCUGGGGAUAACAGCGCAAUCCAUUUCAAGAGCCCCUAUCGACAAAUGGG
rnacentral:rRNA from 1 species